UAUGACCCUGUGCUGCACUAACUUGAAAGUAACCCUAAACCAAGCCUCUAAGCUGACCCAAACACUAAAAUCCAAAGAUAUUAAAGCUACAUUAUGGUGUUGUAAUUUCGAUAGAUAUUGAUACGUUUAUAAAUUUACCUUGUUACACCCCCUGUUACUUUCUGUUUGUUUAGCUUCAUGAAGCUAAACUCAAGAGUCAGACAAUUGCUCAG